GCCGGGGUGCGGAACUGGCAGACGCACAGGACUGUGGAAAAAUCCUGCGGUGGAGUGAUCACCGUACCGGUUCGAUCACCCGUCCUCGGCA
rnacentral:tRNA from 1 species